UCUGCUGAAACGAGCAUGGAUUAUUGGAACAAUACAGAGAAAAUCAGCACAGAUCCUGCCCAGGCUGACACGCACAUUUAUGAAGUGUUCCGUAUUUAA
ensembl:snRNA U6 U6 spliceosomal RNA